ACCCGCACAAGCGGUGGAUGAUGUGGAUUAAUCGAUGCAACGCGAAAACCUUACCUACCCUUGACAUGUCCGGAAUCCCGAAGAGAUUUGGGAGUGCUCGCAAGAGAACCGGAACACAGGUGCUGCAUGGCUGUCGUCAGCUCGUGUCGUGAGAUGUUGGGUUAAGUCCCGCAACGAGCGCAACCCUUGUCAUUAGUUGCCAUCAUUUGGUUGGGCACUCUAAUGAGACUGCCGGUGACAAACCGGAGGAAGGUGGGGAUGACGUCAAGUCCUCAUGGCCCUUAUGGGUAGGGCUUCACACGUCAUACAAUGGUCGGUACAGAGGGUUGCCAACCCGCGAGGGGGAGCUAAUCCCACAAAGCCGAUCGUAGUCCGGAUCGCAGUCUGCAACUCGACUGCGUGAAGUCGGAAUCGCUAGUAAUCGUGGAUCAGCAUGUCACGGUGAAUACGUUCCCGGGUCUU
rnacentral:rRNA from 1 species